GUGGCCCUGAAUCAAGGCCGGUAGCUUCCUGACGCUGUUGGUUUCAAGCAGGAGCCUAAGGAGAUGUCUUUCUAUGGUCUGUUGGCCAUUUGAGACUGUGGGCAGUGAAAUGGUCAAUUCAUUAGAAAAAAACAGCU
ensembl:snoRNA